UUUGAAAGGGAUUGAAGACGAAUAAAGCUCCUUCUCUUUUGUCCAAAAUUAUCAAACACCCUUGUGAAGAUCCAAUGCAAUUAUGAUCAUAACCCCACAAGUUAUUCAACUCGUAAUGGCCUAAUUUCUUUUCAAGAUUGAAAAAACAACACCCAUUAUUGCUAUUUUCAUCAUCAUAGUAUUCUCGGUGAUCUGUAGGAACCAUUAAUAAUGGUGGUUGAAGCUGUGAAAAAGAAGAGAAGAGACGAGAUUUUGAAACAGAGGAUUCCCAAGAACGGCAGACGUGUUUGAGACGGAACAUGUCAAGAAAGGACAAUCUCUUUAGGACGGAUUCUAAAAGAUCGGUGGGAAGUUUGGUCCAAUUUGAUGAAGGUGAUGAAAGUAGUCUUCUUUUUUUGGUGGACAUUUUUAUGAAAAGAAGAGGGUUUAAGGGGUUUAAUUCAGAAGGGUUUAUCAAGAAACCUAUAGAUGAUAUUGAAAUGGGGAUCUAUAGGCUAUAGUAUUACAUAUAUAUAUAUAUAUGGUGGCGAUUAGGGUAUAUGUCCUAGUUCGUACAGGAUUAGGAGGGUAUAUGACGAUCCUAGUUCGAACAGGACUAGGAAAUUACCUUGAACUUGAAGAGAAGAUUAAUUUAUCUCCAAGUAAGCUGGCUAUAUAUGGUCUUUUUUCCUAUUCUUUUAAUAUAUAUAUACUAAUAAAUAAUUUAUGUAUUUUCUUCUUAACUAAGAGCCCGUUUGGGGGAGCUUUAAUUUAGAUGGAUUAAAAAUACUUUCAAGUUAAAAAUAAAAAUAGUUCAGUUUUUGAUAACUCUCCGAAGAUUUGAGUUGAAAACACACUUAUAGCUGAAACAAAAAAUAUGUUUUCUCCAAUCCCCAUCACAGAAUCUAAAAAAUAAAAAUACAAAAAUAUAAAAAAAAUUCCUUCCAGAGAGGCAAAGUAACUUAGAGCUCCUAUUCUUAUAUAUUCUCUCCUUUUUGUGCCAUACUCCAUAACACAUCUACUUUGUUCCUUUUUUAUCUUUAGAAGAAGAAUGGGUUUGGUUGUAGUGAUCUCCCUGCCAUUGAUUCUGCUUUCUUUACUUGUUGGAUUUGGGUGUUACUUCCUGGGAAGAGCUAAUGGCCGGCGAGACGACGUCACCACAAGUGCUCAAGUUUUUGGAGUGCCAACACCACCACCCGGAAGCUCUGCUCCUGCUCAGGCUCGGAAAAUUAAUAUAUGAUUAUCAUCAUAAAUAAAUAAGGCUGCUUCUUCUAUAUUAUUAUGUCUUGUUGCUCUGUUAUGCAAAUUUUGUUUGGGUCAUGUAAAUUGGUGAUAUUGUGAAUUGAACAAAGAUGAUUUUAAGAUUCUUAUAUCAUUCUCUCCUCAUAUAAAGUUUCAGAUAUGGUUUAAGUUGA
rnacentral:lncRNA from 1 species